rnacentral:rRNA from 1 species
AGUGAACGCUGGCGGUAGGCCUAACACAUGCAAGUCGAACGGCAGCACAGUAAGAGCUUGCUCUUACGGGUGGCGAGUGGCGGACGGGUGAGGAAUACAUCGGAAUCUACUUUUUCGUGGGGGAUAACGUAGGGAAACUUACGCUAAUACCGCAUACGACCUACGGGUGAAAGCAGUGGAUCUUCGGACCUUGCGCGAUUGAAUGAGCCGAUGUCGGAUUAGCUAGUUGGCGGGGUAAAGGCCCACCAAGGCGACGAUCCGUAGCUGGUCUGAGAGGAUGAUCAGCCACACUGGAACUGAGACACGGUCCAGACUCCUACGGGAGGCAGCAGUGGGGAAUAUUGGACAAUGGGCGCAAGCCUGAUCCAGCCAUACCGCGUGGGUGAAGAAGGCCUUCGGGUUGUAAAGCCCUUUUGUUGGGAAAGAAAAGCAGCAGGUUAAUACCACGCUGUUCUGACGGUACCCAAAGAAUAAGCACCGGCUAACUUCGUG